rnacentral:rRNA from 1 species
GACGAACGCUGGCGGCGUGCUUAACACAUGCAAGUCGAACGGAAAGGCCCUGCUUGCAGGGUGCUCGAGUGGCGAACGGGUGAGUAACACGUGGGUGAUCUGCCCCUUACUUUGGGAUAAGCCUGGGAAACUGGGUCUAAUACUGGAUAGGACCAUGCUGUAGGUGGUGUGGUGGAAAGAUUUUUUCGGUAAGGGAUGAGCUCGCGGCCUAUCAGCUUGUUGGUGGGGUAAUGGCCUACCAAGGCGUCGACGGGUAGCCGGCCUGAGAGGGUGGACGGCCACACUGGGACUGAGAUACGGCCAAGACUCCUACGGGAGGCAGCAGUGGGGAAUAUUGCACAAUGGGCGCAAGCCUGAUGCAGCGACGCCGCGUGGGGGAUGACGGCCUUCGGGUUGUAAACUCCUUUCAGCCAUGACGAAGCCUCUUUUGGGGUGACGGUAGUGGUAGAAGAAGCACCGGCUAACUACGUG